rnacentral:rRNA from 1 species
ACAGGUGGUGGCAUGGUUGUCGUCAGCUCGUGUCGUGAGAUGUUGGUUAAGUCCCGCAACGAGCGCAACCCCUAUUGCUAGUUACCAUCAUAAUUGGGGACUCUAGCGAGACUGCCAGUGAUAAACUGGAGGAAGGUGGGGAUGACGUCAAAUCAUCAUGCCCCUUAUGACCUGGGCUACAAACGUGAUACAAUGGCUGGAACAAAGGGAGGCGAAGGGGUGACCUGGAGCGAAACUCAAAAAAACAGUCUCAGUUCGGAUUGAAGUCUGCAACUCGACUUCAUGAAGUCGGAAUCGCUAGUAAUCGCGGAUCAGAACGCCGCGGUGAAUACGUUCUCGGGGUUU